rnacentral:rRNA from 1 species
ACGGCUACCUUGUUACGACUUCACCCCAAUUAUCGAACCCACCUUCGGCCGCGCCCCCCUUGCGGUUAGGCUACGGACUUCGGGUGUUCCCGACUCUCAUGGUGUGACGGGCGGUGUGUACAAGGCCCGGGAACGUAUUCACCGCGGCAUGCUGAUCCGCGAUUACUAGCGAUUCCAACUUCACGCAGGCGGGUUGCAGCCUGCGAUCCGAACUGGGAUGGCUUUUAGGGAUUUGCUCCUCCUCGCGGGAUUGCUUCCCUCUGUUAACCACCAUUGUAGUACGUGUGUGGCCCAGGACAUAAGGGGCAUGAUGAUUUGACGUCGUCCCCACCUUCCUCCGUUUUGUCAACGGCAGUCUCGCUAGAGUGCUCUUGCGUAGCAACUAACAAUAAAGGUUGCGCUCGUUGCG